rnacentral:misc_RNA from 1 species
UACCAUUGCUUCCUUGAUUGAUCGUUGAUAUGGAAGGAAUUACUGUGAACCUAUUGAUGAAUUUCAGGAAUUAACAAGUGUACAUUUGACGGCAUUUGCAUUAUAUUAUAUUUUUUUGCUGAUCUUUUAAGUUAAAGCAAAAUUAGGACUGGCAUGUUGCGGAUUUCAUCUCGGUCUGCAAUUUUUCAAUGGAAAUUAGAUGAACUUUGGAGUUGAAUAGAGCGCCCAUGGAUGAAAAUAUGUCAUUUGCACCCUACUGUUUUUUCUGGAGCUAUUUUUCUUCAAGCAAGACUUGGUCUGUCCUUUCGAGCAUUGCAUAGCU